UAGGCUGUAGGUGUGCUGGACAUUUUUCCUCCCUAGGUGCAGCACUUUGCAUUUCUCCUUGUUGAACUGCAUUCUGUUGUUUUCUGCCCACUUGUCCAACCUGUCCAGGUCUGCUUGCAGCUGUUCCCUGCCCUCCGGCGUGUCUACAUCUCCCCAUAGCUUUGUGUCAUCUGCAAACUUGGACAGAGUACAUUUCACUCCCUCGUCCAAGUCACUGAUGAAGACAUUAAAGAGUAUCGGUCCAAGGACCGAACCCUGCGGGACCCCACUGCCCACACCCUUCCAGGUCGAAACCGACCAAUCCACCACGACUCUCUGGGUGCGACCCUCCAGCCAAUUCGCCACCCACCGGACUGUGUAGUCAUCCAAGUCACAGCCUCUUAACUUGUUCACCAGUAUGGGGUGGGAUACCGUAUCGAAGGCCUUCCUGAAGUCUAAGUAUACGACAUCCAUCCCUCCUCCUGUGUCCAGGCGUUUUGUAACCUGGUCAUAAAAAGAAACUAGAUUGGUCAGGCACGAUCUGCCUGCCACGAACCCGUGCUGAUUUCCCCUCAGCAUAAUUUGUCCUGCCGGGCUCUCACAAAUGUGAGCCUUGAUAAUUUUUUCAAAGACUUUGCCAAGGAUGAAGGUGAGACUGACUGGCCUAUAGUUGCCCAGGUCCUCCUUCCUCCCUUGUCUCAGACCUGCUAAUUGGUCAGGCUGGCCAGAAGGAGUGGGGCUCAGGGGUUAUAUAGGCUUGCCCUCAGGCUGGAGGGGUAGUCUUGCCCUAGACUGGGGAAGGGGCAGAAUGCCCAGGCAGGCUGGAAUGAGGCCUGGGAGCAAUAAGGGAAACCCUGGUGAGCAAGGGCUGAGAGGAGGUUUCUCUUUGUGGCUUUUCCCUGCACAGGGCCCAGAAGGGAUAAAGGAUUGUUGCUUAGGGAUUGCUUGUUUGUGAGUGCCCAGAAAGGUGGUAAUUUCUGGCUGAAAGUGGACCAAGAACAACUAUGAGAGGAGGUGGAGUUUGCAUUGAAGGUGCCCUAAAGCACCCUGUGAGAUUCAUCCCUUGUGGGCAAUGGGUCACACAAUGAGAGAGGUGAUUUAACCCCUUUUAGGGCUGGGGAACCAGAAGGGCCCACAGCCCCAUUGUGGAGCCUAAUCUCUGUGCCACUGCUACUGCAGAGCCCAAGCUGGACUAAGUGGGUCUAGGGAUGCAGGAAGCACUUAGAGCAAAAUAAAUCCUGGCCAAGAAGGUCAGGGCCUGGACAAGUAUAAAAAGGGGAAACCAUGUGACCCAAAGGAAGCCCCCCACUCUAAGGCCCAGGAUACAUCCCACAUAACUGGGUCCAUGAUUGGCAAGAUAUAGUGUAGCAGUUCAGAAGGGCUGGGGAUAGGAGUAGGUAGGGGUGGGGGGAGGCAGGCCAGCUGGUUGCUGGAGUUUAUGACCUCCCAGCAGGGCUAGGCUUGUCACAGGAGUCUUUGCAGCUUAAGAAAGAUUUAAGAAGCACUGGGCUGAACCAGCAGAGCUUCAAGUUUCUUUUCAAAACUGUAACAGAGAACAGUCAGCCUUGUUGAGAGAUCCUUGCUGCAGGGUUUUUAGAUAGGCAGGGGGUGUCCUGCUAGGAGCUUUAAAAAGAUCCCAGAGAAGGAAGCAAGCUGUGAUUACAACUGCUUGCUACACGAAAGGGUCCAAGUUACUGUGCUGGGAGCCAGAGCCAAAUAGGUUCUUCUUGAGUUCCCAGGACAGGACAGAAGGGUUUUUUUGUUUAUUUGUUGGCUUGUUUCUUGCCUACAGAUUGUGUUACCUGAGAAGACUGGCUGAGAUGCUCUUUAAAGAGCAAGAGCCCACAUGCAGAAGCCAGAAGGCUAGGUAACAUGCUCACAGAUGAUAGUCACCUGCAACUAGAAUGGAUACCGAGGCCAUGCUAAAAUGGUUGGAGGGGCUGCAUCGGCAGCAGCAAUAAUUGUUCCAGAAGCUCCACCUUCAGUAACAGCAGGUACAGUAGAGGUGCAGGAGGAGCUGCAACACUCCAUGUUCUGGCUACUGGACUAGAGGCGACCAGUGUGCAGGUAGAUGCUACUACCCUAGCUCAACCCAAAGAAAGUGGAAGGGGGUGGGACCCUCAUGAAGAUGGGAUCAGAAGACAAGCCUGAGGCUUUUCUGGAGACUUUUGUGUCAAUGGGCAGGGUGUACCAAUAGCUCUGGGAUCAUUUGAGGGUUCUUUCCUAUUUGCUACUCAUAACAGAUCUACAAUUGUAGGAUCAGUCUCCUACUCAAGGAAAGGCCUGAUGAAUAACUUUAUUUUAUGCCAAAAACAUUCUUUUAAGAUUUUUUGUGAUUUUGUUUGGGCUGAGUAAACUACCAGGGAUCUUAGCAGAGGUGGAAGCCUUCAUUACCCUGUAGUCAGACAGUAAGGGAAAAAUGUUCAGGCAUCUGACAUUCAAAAAUAAAAGGAAAGCAAGGACUGAAGUGCUCAAUGAAUCACUGGUAGCAGCAUGUUCUACAAGGGAAAGGGAAAAAUAAUUGCAUCAAUGUAAUUAAAAUAGAUUAAACAGACAGGGAAUGUAUUAGUCAUGGAAAAAACCUGACUCGCAGCACUUGAGAAUAAAUUUCUGGAAGACUGUUUCCAUGAUAUGAUGAAAAUCAUAAAAGAAAAUAUACAGACCUAAAAGAAUCAAAUAAAGGUGAGAUCAGAAAAUGAGCCUAAUUGUGUGUGAAAAUAUUGGGACUAAUAAGUUGUAAAAGUGCUUCUAAAAUUGAUCUUAAAAACAGACUAAGAACCAAAUGUUUCCUCUCAUUUCACAGGCAAGUAAAGACAUAGAUGUCAUGCUUUUCUUUUUCUACCUGUUUGAGAAGAGGCUGCAGAGAGGUCAUGCGAGAAGGGGAUGGAAGGCAGUGGAAGUGUUUAAAUAUCUAAACUGUGGAGAAGCAAGUGGAGUAGCAGGUUUGCAUCGGCUUUGAAUGCAAAGAGCAAUAUUCUCCUGCCAUCCACUGAGUAGAUGUGAUUUGUGGGAAGAAAGGCACCAUGGAAAUUAACUCUAAGGCUGUUUCUGGAGGACAGCAUCACAAACUCUGACAAAAGGAGCCUGUUGGAUUGGAGCUGGGAUCAGGAAGCGUGGUAGUGCAGUGAAUUUCCAUGUAACGCUGUGGACUAUAGGGAACUCAGGGUACAUGCCUAUAAUUCCAGUACUUUUUGAGACACCAGAACAAGAGAGGAAAGCACAAAAAUGACCUUAAAUUACUUUAGCUCCUCUUAUAUUGAGGCUUUGAGUUGUGUUAAAAGUCCCACUUUGCAUGCACACCUCAGUUUAAGUAUUAAAGGGUUUAUUUUAAGACUAAAGAUGAAUAUUUUAUCUUUUAUCUUUGAACAUCUUGUGUCUUCGGAAUUUCACCAGUCCAACAUGUGGUUAACAGACUAGAUAGAGUGCAGAAUUUGGACCUGGUAGACCCCAUCUGCAAAUGAAGACCAAAAUAGGAACAAUGACAUUGGACAGAUGUUGGCGCUGAGCACAGAAAAGAACCAAAAGUUUGAUGAAACUUCUUUCCACGUCAGCUGAAUUUACAGUCAGUUGGAGGAGAACCAUUGUGUGUUUUGCCAGGUUGGGAACGUGAUCUUCAACAGCCAUCCAGAAGUGAAUGGGAUCCUCAACGUCUCCAGACGCAUCUUUGGCAAACUUUAAAUACACUGGUCAUUUCAUAUUUCAUUCAUCAGACAGCUUUAAUUGUAGUUUCACAGUUUCAUAAUCUGUACAAACAGCACCUAUUUGUUUAGAAUCGACUGCAUGAACAGCAUGGAGAAAAUCAAUUGCUGGUUGUUUAUUUUUUACGUUCUACUGUGUCAUUUUUUCAGUAGCACUUCGAGCAGCUGCAGAUCCAUUUACAUUAUCAGGUGAUGAUGCAAGGUGCUCCAACCAUGAAAUUAAAUCCAGGACAACACUGUA